CCUACGGGAGGCAGCAGUGGGGAAUAUUGGGCAAUGGGCGCAAGCCUGACCCAGCAACGCCGCGUGAAGGAAGAAGGCUUUCGGGUUGUAAACUUCUUUUGUCAGGGAAGAGUAGAAGACGGUACCUGACGAAUAAGCUACGGCUAACUACGUGCCAGCAGCCGCGGUAAUACGUAGGUGGCAAGCGUUGUCCGGAUUUACUGGGUGUAAAGGGCGUGUAGCCGGGUUGACAAGUCAGAUGUGAAAUCCUGCGGCUUAACCGCAGAACUGCAUUUGAAACUGUUGGUCUUGAGUACAGGAGAGGCAGGCGGAAUUCCUAGUGUAGCGGUGAAAUGCGUAGAUAUUAGGAGGAACACCAGUGGCGAAGGCGGUCUGCUGGACAGCAACUGACGGUGAGGCGCGAAAGCGUGGGGAGCAAACAGGAUUAGAUACCCUAGUAGUC
rnacentral:rRNA from 1 species